CUGGGAAUGCAAACCAUGGUCACCAUGUAGGAUCUGGCCUCUUUCCUAAGUAGAACAUUACCACUGUGACAUAGAGAUGGUCCCAUCAUAAUGCAGUCUUGCGUUCUGAUCUCCCUGGCCCUACCACAGGCCUGAGGAUGUGGCUCUUAAGUGUUUGAACCCCAGCUCCAUGGUCAAGUCCACAGUCUGACCUGCUGAUGGCUGACUCAGUUAGGGCUCACAUCUGGCAAGGGCUGUGUGGAGCUUGUAGGCUUUUUAUUGUCCAGUCACAGGGUUGUAGCCUGCAUAAGGAAGGACAAGACCCUGGCCUGGCAGCCUAGCGGCAGAGUGAUCUGCGUUCAGAAGAGCCCAUGCCAGGAGAUGGACGCGGUAUCUGUGCGGCUGAAUCACUCAGACAAGUUUUUCAUCAUGUCCGUAGCAGAGUCAGAGGAAAAAACAAAACAAAAUAACAUGCAAGUCUCCACAUGUGAUCAUGGCUUCAAAUGAAAUAACUUGAAGAUGAUAUCAGAUUUGAAGAUGGGCAGUAGCUCAGAGAAGCUCCAGAAUGCCAGAGGAGAUGAGAACCACCAAGGAAGGGAUGGUCCUGGAUGUGAACCGG